GACGAACGCUGGCGGCGUGCUUAACACAUGCAAGUCGAACGGAAAGGCCCUGCUUGCAGGGUACUCGAGUGGCGAACGGGAGAGUAACACGUGGGUGAUCUGCCCUGCACUUCGGGAUAAGCCUGGGAAACUGGGUCUAAUACCGGAUAGGAGCCAUUUUUAGUGUGAUGGUUGGAAAGUUUUUUCGGUGUAGGAUGAGCUCGCGGCCUAUCAGCUUGUUGGUGGGGUAAUGGCCUACCAAGGCGGCGACGGGUAGCCGGCCUGGGAGGGUGGACGGCCACAUUGGGACUGAGAUACGGCCCAGAAUCCUACGGGAGGCAGCCGUGGGGAAUAUUGCACAAUGGGGGCAAGCCUGAUGCAGCGACGCCGCGUGGGGGAUGACGGCCUUCGGGUUGUAAACUCCUUUCGCUAGGGACGAAGCUUUUUGUGACGGUAACUAGAUAAGAAGCACCGGCUAACUACGUG
rnacentral:rRNA from 1 species